rnacentral:rRNA from 1 species
UACGUAGGGGCCGAGCGUUGUCCGGAGUUAUUGGGCGUAAAGCGCGCGCAGGCGGCUUCGCGCGCCCGACGUGAAAGCCCCCGGCUUAACCGGGGAGAGUCGUUGGGGACGGCGGGGCUUGAGUACGAGAGAGGUGAGUGGAAUUCCCAGUGUAGAGGUGAAAUUCGUAGAUAUUGGGAAGAACACCAGUGGCGAAGGCGGCUCACUGGCUCGUAACUGACGCUCAGGCGCGACAGCGUGGGGAUCAAACAGG